rnacentral:piRNA from 1 species
GAAUUGAACUCGGGACUCCUGGAA